GGGUGCAAUCAUACCAAUGUUAAUGCACCAGAUACCAUCAGAACUCCGCAGUUAAGUGGGCUUGGGCUAAAGUAGUACUGGGAUGGGUGACCUCCUGGCAAGUCCUAGUGUUGCACUCU
rfam:Picea glauca, whole genome shotgun sequence.